rnacentral:rRNA from 1 species
GAUGAACGCUGGCGGCGUGCCUAAUACAUGCAAGUCGAGCGAACGGACGAGAAGCUUGCUUUUCUGAUGUUAGCGGCGGACGGGUGAGUAACACGUGGAUAACCUACCUAUAAGACUGGGAUAACUUCGGGAAACCGGAGCUAAUACCGGAUAAUAUUUUUAACCGCAUGGUUCAAAAGUGAAAGACGGUCUUGCUGUCACUUAUAGAUGGAUCCGCGCUGCAUUAGCUAGUUGGUAAGGUAACGGCUUACCAAGGCAACGAUGCAUAGCCGACCUGAGAGGGUGAUCGGCCACACUGGAACUGAGACACGGUCCAGACUCCUACGGGAGGCAGCAGUAGGGAAUCUUCCGCAAUGGGCGAAAGCCUGACGGAGCAACGCCGCGUGAGUGAUGAAGGUCUUCGGAUCGUAAAACUCUGUUAUUAGGGAAGAACAUAUGUGUAAGUAACUGUGCACAUCUUGACGGUACCUAAUCAGAAAGCCACGGCUAACUACGUG